UACAGAGGUCUCAAGCGUUGUUCGGAUUCAUUGGGCGUAAAGGGUGCGUAGGCGGCGCGGUAAGUCGGAUGUGAAAGCCCUGGGCUCAACCCAGGAAGUGCACUCGAAACUGCGAGGCUAGAGUAUCGGAGAGGUUGGUGGAAUUCUCGGUGUAGAGGUGAAAUUCGUAGAUAUCGAGAGGAACACCGGUGGCGAAGGCGGCCAACUGGACGAAUACUGACGCUGAGACACGAAAGCGUGGGGAGCAAACAGG
rnacentral:rRNA from 1 species